GUGUUGACAAAAUACAGAGGAAUGAAAGUGUCAGAAAGGAGCUAAAUGGAGUGAGAAGGCUCAAAACACAUAAAUGAGAUUUACUUGGAAUAAUAAAGUAAUAGUGAAAACCAGAGGGGAAUAAAACUAUGAAGUGAGCAGCUGUGGAGUUAACAGGGAAAAAAAAAAAGAAAAAAGAAAGAGAGAAAACAACAUUUGUUGGGAGACACUGAGGAAGUGGAGACACAGGAAAUGGAACAGAAAAUCUAGAGAAAAAGUCAAAAAACAAGCAAUGUCUUCCUUCAAACCACUCCCUUCCAGAAACCGAAAGUUCUGCAUGCAGCUCUGCUGCUACCCUGGCCUUGCACUUGGCCUGGUACUCUAAAUGAAGCAUGAAAAGGCACAGAAUGGAGUCAGUUGCAACAAGGUAAUGACUGCCCAGCAACUCCGCAGAGACAAACCCCCAAACCCCAACAACCACAACACUGAUGCUUUCCUCAGCCUCCAAAAUCAAAAAGGGGAAGACACGCUAUUAACUAGAGUCAGACCAGUGGUGCAUGUAGGCAAUCUUAUGAUAGCAUGCAUCCUUAGCACUUCUAAAUUUCAGUGUUAUCUCUCGCAUCACGAGAAAGGAAAUCUCAUCCUCAUUAUUAGUCCAUAUCUGACCCGUGUGCUGUCUCUUUUGGCAUUAGUCACUUUCCAUGUCUUUUUUCAAAACAUUUUCUAUUUCCCCCAUUUGGGCAAGAUGCGUGAUGCCCUCUAGAGGUCCGCUGAGCUGCAACGGGCAACGCAUACCUCAUUGCAAACAGCAGAUGACAAGUAACAACAAGUUGCCACCCACACUGGAGGUAAUCCAGUAAAGGACUAUCUUCAGAAAAGAUAAACUGGGUUAUCUCCUCUGUACAGAGGUGCAGGCUGCAACAGAUGAGCCUUCUGUAGUCAUUGAUGCUUGCAGCUUGUUGCAAAGCAGCAGAUCACAUGCAAACAGAUUCUCAUACAAUCUCUGCCUGGCUACUUCCACUCAGAACCUGAUUCAACUACAUCUGGUGCUGGCACAGUGCUCCAAAAAGCUCUGGGUAGAGAGGAAAAAGUUUAUAGAAAGGAGGCACUGCCAAUUCAGAUGCCUUUUCAUGUGUACUUUGCUUCAUUUUAAGGAAGCCUAAUGUUGAAGCUUCCUCAUUGCAUCUCUGCACAUCUACCCUCCUGCAGGAAGGCUUGUGACAGAACCAGUAUGUCACCCUCCUGCUAAUGAAGAAAAGCCAUCAUCCAAAGUAAUUUAAGCCAUUCAGGAUGGCCAGGUUCAUCAAGACAGCUAUGACUGUGAUUAAGAUCCUAGCUGAUGCAAUCGUGUUCAAAGUCUUUUCGCAUCUUUUGCUGAUGGAGACACAAGGUUGCCAAGCUGAAGUUCAGACCUUAGAAGAAAAAAAAAUUGCUCUUUGGAGCUCCUGUCUCUCAGAUUAUAGUGUCAGAUUAAAGAUCCUUAACUAGGUAUUGAGACUAAAUGAGAUAGGCAAUGAACUCUGGCUUCAGAAAACUUAAGGAUCUUUAUGUCAGCCUGAAGUGAGCUCUAGAGAGGAGUGGGUACUUGCCUGGUCUGCCUAUUGCUGCUGCUGUGGUUUACUUUUCUGUGUAACACCGGAGUCAGUCCUUUUGCUCAUGUAAGGAAUCAUAGGACUCAUAACACCUCACAGAGCAAGGAUUUUGGCCUCCAGGAGGCUUCUGGAUAUACUGCUACACAGAGCUGCUAAUGCUUUAGGCUUCUUUCUCCUCUUGCAUGCUUCCUCCAGUACCUGGAAGCAAUUCCCUCUCAGUACCGUUUUAGGUAGUGGGGAUGAACUUUCUUAGUGGCAGCUGCUCUGAUUUUCUGUCUACUCCUGUACUGUUUGUAAAGGUGCCAGGUAAUUACUCAAGACUGAAAAAUCUAUGUCAAAGCAAUCAGUAGUGUCACCUCGUUGACUUCAGAGAAAUUGCAACAGAAAUUAAUCUGAAUCUACUAUACUUCCUUUCCCUGUAGCAAAUGGUAAAAACCUAUGUAACCCUGCCUGCAGGCAGCAACAAGCAAAAAAAACCACUCCAACCACAUGUGUGGGGGCUUUACUACUCUGAAGUGCCACUUUUUCCCUCAAAUCCCCCCAAAACUGAUGGUUAAUAUUAGCAGUUGAACUGAAGCAUCAGGACACUGAGAUGCAAGGGGGGACCUGAUAAUAUCACUGUUCAUUCUCCUCUUUCCCUGUCCAUACACAGAGAUAGGCAUCAAGGGUCAUUGCUGGAAUUAGGGUCAGCAGAGAAAACACACAAACACAAGAGAAGUUUUACAUCUGAACUUGUGGAAAUGCACAUUGUCUGCCUUGCUGUCUGGACAACAUACAGAAGAGCGGGGAAGGAUUUCAGCAGAGAGCUUUAAACCAUCUGCAAAUAGAUAAUUAACCUUGCUCUAAAUGCUAUUUAAUUUUUGCACUUUAUUUUCCCCAGAGAUCUUUAUAUCUAUCCAAAACCAGUCUGUUGAAAGAAAGAGGACAGAAAAGGAACUGUUGUGGUGGAUGCUGGUUUUACAGAACAAGUUGGCAAACUAUGUGCAAAUAAAAAAAAAAAAAAAAUUCUCCUGGAGCA
rnacentral:lncRNA from 1 species